AAGCCCCGUAGACGAAAUGCUAACAACACCUAGGAGGAUCCUGAGUACGGCGGAACACGAGAAAUUCCGUCGGAAUCCGCGGGGACCAUCCCGCAAGGCUAAAUACUCCCUAGUGACCGAUAGUGAACCAGUACCGUGAGGGAAAGGUGAAAAGCACCCCGGAAGGGGAGUGAAAUAGAUCCUGAAACCGUGUGCCUACAACAAGUCAAAGCUCGUUAAUGAGUGAUGGCGUGCCUUUUGUAGAAUGAACCGGCGAGUUACGAUUGCAUGCGAGGUUAAGUCGAAGAGACGGAGCCGCAGCGAAAGCGAGUCUGAAUAGGGCGAAUGAGUAUGUAGUCGUAGACCCGAAACCAUGUGAUCUACCCAUGUCCAGGUUGAAGGUGCGGUAAAACGCACUGGAGGACCGAACCCACGUACGUUGAAAAGUGCGGGGAUGAGGUGUGGGUAGCGGAGAAAUUCCAAACGAACUUGGAGAUAGCUGGUUCUCUCCGAAAUAGCUUUAGGGCUAGCCUCGGAAUUGAGAAUGAUGGAGGUAGAGCACUGUUUGGACUAGGGGCCCAUCUCGGGUUACCGAAUUCAGAUAAACUCCGAAUGCCAUUCAUUUAUAUCCGGGAGUCAGACUGCGAGUGAUAAGAUCCGUAGUCGAAAGGGAAACAGCCCAGACCACCAGCUAAGGUCCCAAAAUAUAUGUUAAGUGGAAAAGGAUGUGGGGUUGCACAGACAACUAGGAUGUUGGCUUAGAAGCAGCCACCAUUUAAAGAGUGCGUAAUAGCUCACUAGUCGAGUGACCCUGCGCCGAAAAUGUACCGGGGCUAAACAUAUUACCGAAGCUGUGGACUACACCAUUAGGUGUAGUGGUAGGAGAGCGUUCUAAGGGCGUUGAAGGUCGAUCGUGAGGACGGCUGGAGCGCUUAGAAGUGAGAAUGCCGGUAUGAGUAGCGAAAGACAGGUGAGAAUCCUGUCCACCGUAUGACUAAGGUUUCCUGGGGAAGGCUCGUCCGCCCAGGGUUAGUCGGGACCUAAGCCGAGGCCGAUAGGCGUAGGCGAUGGACAACAGGUUGAUAUUCCU
rnacentral:rRNA from 1 species